GCGAGCUGGGUCGUUCCCCUCGAGCCCACUCUCCCUUCCUCCCCGCUGCCGCCAGCCAUCCUCCCCGUCCCGCGCCUUCUCCUCCCCAUCGCCCCUCCCUGCCGCAGAAGCAGCAGUCCCCGCCCGUCGCCCAAGAGUCGAAGCCCGCCACCAAGCAGCCGCCCCCUCUCCUCUUCCUCCCACCUCAUCCCUCUCUCCCCAUCCAAACCCUAGCCCCGCACCGGCCUUCCUGCCCCGCCGCCGUCAUCUCCUUCGCCCGGUCGGCCGCCCCGCACCGCACGAGGUGGGAUGCGAGGAGGCAGGCGAGUCGGUGCAGGGGAGCAGGCAGGAGAGAGCAGCGGAGACGCGCGGAAGAGCAGGAUAGCUACACGACCUAAGGCGGAACUGCGCGGUUGUGCCUGGAGCGCGGGCAGAUAACUGGAGACGACGAGGAGGGCUUCUACAGCGUACUUCAGCUCCAGCGAGGAUCCUGUAAGUCCCUCCACUCAUCCACAUCCCAUCGUAUCUUCCUCACCCCAUCCUAUCUCCCUCCCAGAUCCCCACCGCGCAGCUCUGUAGCUCGCUCAGGCACCCGAACACCGACGCCAUGGAGGACGCUGCUCCACCCCUGCUCCGGUUCGUGCCCCCGAUGCCAUGGAGGACGCCCCUCCACCCCUGCUCUAGCCUGAAGCCCAUCGACGAUGACGGCUCUGAAAUGAACAUUGUUAUCUGUGAAUGGAGAAACAAAAACUGUAAUGCAGGAGAUAACUCAUGGUGCCUGCAACUAUCUCCUAAAACCCGUUCGCAUCGAGGAGCUUAGGAAUAUCUGGCAGCAUGUUGUUUGAUCCGUUGAACUACAUAUAAAAUUCAUCUAUGCUGUCAACCAUCUUGGAAUUGACAGCAAGAACUUACCUUCCUUCUCUGUAGCUACUUUUUUCUGGAGUAACUUUUUUUCUCACUAUUCUUUCAUGUUUAUGCAGAAGGUGUGCCGAAAAGGAUACUUGACCUCAUGAAUGUUGAAAAACUCACUAGGGAAAAUGUUGCAAGUCGUCUACAG